AUGAACGCUGGCGCCGUGCCUAAUACAUGCAAGUCGAGCGAACAGACGAGGAGCUUGCUCCUCUGACGUUAGCGGCGGACGGGUGAGUAACACGUGGAUAACCUACCUAUAAGACUGGGAUAACUUCGGGAAACCGGAGCUAAUACCGGAUAAUAUAUUGAACCGCAUGGUUCAAUAGUGAAAGACGGUUUUGCUGUCACUUAUAGAUGGAUCCGCGCCGCAUUAGCUAGUUGGUAAGGUAACGGCUUACCAAGGCAACGAUGCGUAGCCGACCUGAGAGGGUGAUCGGCCACACUGGAACUGAGACACGGUCCAGACUCCUACGGGAGGCAGCAGUAGGGAAUCUUCCGCAAUGGGCGAAAGCCUGACGGAGCAACGCCGCGUGAGUGAUGAAGGUCUUCGGAUCGUAAAACUCUGUUAUUAGGGAAGAACAAAUGUGUAAGUAACUAUGCACGUCUUGACGGUACCUAAUCAGAAAGCCACGGCUAACUACGUG
rnacentral:rRNA from 1 species